rnacentral:rRNA from 1 species
AGUGAACGCUGGCGGUAGGCCUAACACAUGCAAGUCGAACGGCAGCACAGUAAGAGCUUGCUCUUACGGGUGGCGAGUGGCGGACGGGUGAGGAAUACAUCGGAAUCUACUUUUUCGUGGGGGAUAACGUAGGGAAACUUACGCUAAUACCGCAUACGACCUACGGGUGAAAGCAGGGGAUCUUCGGACCUUGCGCGAUUGAAUGAGCCGAUGUCGGAUUAGCUAGUUGGCGGGGUAAAGGCCCACCAAGGCGACGAUCCGUAGCUGGUCUGAGAGGAUGAUCAGCCACACUGGAACUGAGACACGGUACAGACUCCUAAGGGAGGCAGCAGUGGGGAAUAUUGGACAAUGGGCGCAAGCCUGAUCCAGCCAUACCGCGUGGGUGAAGAAGGCCUUCGGGUUGUAAAGCCCUUUUGUUGGGAAAGAAAAGCAGCAGGUUAAUACCCCGCUGUUCUGACGGUACCCAAAGAAUAAGCACCGGCUAACUUAGUG